UACGUAGGGGGCAAGCGUUGUCCGGAUUUAUUGGGCGUAAAGAGCGUGUAGGCGGCUAGAUAGGUCCGUUGUGAAAACUCGAGCUCAACCUCGAGACGCCGGUGGAAACCAUCUAGCUAGAGUCCGGAAGAGGAGAGUGGAAUUCCUGGUGUAGCGGUGAAAUGACGCAGAUAUCAGGAAGAACACCCGUGGCGAAGGCGGCUCUCUGGGCCGAUACUGACGCUGAGGAGCGAAAGCGUGGGGAGCGAACAGG
rnacentral:rRNA from 1 species